rnacentral:lncRNA from 1 species
AUCUUCCUUAUUAGUUUUUAACGGCUCUAUAUUUUUCUUAUUGGUUUUUAAUAACUCUGCAUCUUCAACAGUAUUUGACAGAUUGGUGGUUUUCUUUUUUGGAGGAAAUUGCAUGAUUGAUGGUAAUUGCAUGAUUGUUUCCAAUAACUCUGCAUCUUCAGGUUUCAGAUAAAGUUCUUGAUAAUCAUGGAUUUUAUGAUGCUUUUGCAUAGAUAUUGUUCCGUGAGAAUCCGAAAAAUUCCUCUUAUGUCAUGGUUUCUGUUAGAAAACCAUCAAUUAUGCAAUUACUAUCAAUCUUGCAAUUCUCUCUAAGAAAAGAAACUACCAAUCUAUCAAAUGUUGUUAGAGAUGCAGAAUUAUUGGAAACCAAUAAGAAAGAUAUAGAACUGUUGGAAACCAAUAAGCAUGAUGGAAAUAAGUAAAUGAGAAGCAGAUGUUUCUGCUCGGACAGGAAAACCUUUUCUUGAUCUC